rnacentral:rRNA from 1 species
AGUUUGAUCCUGGCUCAGGAUGAACGCUGGCGGCGUGCCUAAUACAUGCAAGUCGAACGCUUUGUGGUUCAACUGAUUUGAAGAGCUUGCUCAGAUAUGACGAUGGACAUUGCAAAGAGUGGCGAACGGGUGAGUAACACGUGGGAAACCUACCUCUUAGCAGGGGAUAACAUUUGGAAACAGAUGCUAAUACCGUAUAACAAUAGCAACCGCAUGGUUGCUACUUAAAAGAUGGUUCUGCUAUCACUAAGAGAUGGUCCCGCGGUGCAUUAGUUAGUUGGUGAGGUAAUGGCUCACCAAGACAAUGAUGCAUAGCCGAGUUGAGAGACUGAUCGGCCACAAUGGGACUGAGACACGGCCCAUACUCCUACGGGAGGCAGCAGUAGGGAAUCUUCCACAAUGGGCGAAAGCCUGAUGGAGCAACGCCGCGUGUGUGAUGAAGGGUUUCGGCUCGUAAAACACUGUUGUAAGAGAAGAAUGACAUUGAGAGUAACUGUUCAAUGUGUGACGGUAUCUUACCAGAAAGGAACGGCUAAAUACGUGCCAGCAGCCGCGGUAA